rfam:Eubacterium cylindroides T2-87 draft genome.
GGGUGCUUAUAUAACUGACGGAAAAAGUGGAACUGACCACAUGGAAGUAUAAGAGUAUAAAUGCCGUCCGUCUGGGCAGCCAUA